rnacentral:rRNA from 1 species
GAAGGUCUUAGGAUUGUAAAAUUCUUUCACCGGGGACGAUAAUGACGGUACCCGGAGAAGAAGCCCCGGCUAACUUCGUGCCAGCAGCCGCGGUAAUACGAAGGGGGCUAGCGUUGCUCGGAAUUACUGGGCGUAAAGGGAGCGUAGGCGGACUGUUUAGUCAGAGGUGAAAGCCCAGGGCUCAACCUUGGAAUUGCCUUUGAUACUGGCAGUCUUGAGUACGGAAGAGGUAUGUGGAACUCCGAGUGUAGAGGUGAAAUUCGUAGAUAUUCGGAAGAACACCAGUGGCGAAGGCGACAUACUGGUCCGUUACUGACGCUGAGGCUCGAAAGCGUGGGGAGCAAACAGGAUUAGAUACCCUGGUAGUCCACGCCGUAAACGAUGAGUGCUAGUUGUCGGCAUGCAUGCAUGUCGGUGACGCAGCUAACGCAUUAAGCACUCCGCCUGGGG